rnacentral:rRNA from 1 species
AGCAGCCGCGGUAAUUCCAGCUCCAAUAGCGUAUAUUAAAGUUGUUGCAGUUAAAAAGCUCGUAGUUGAAUUUCGGGAUCAGUACGCUGGUCGUGCCUUUGGUAUGUACUGGUGUCACUGAUUCCUCCCUUCAGAAGAACCGUUAUGCCAUUUAUUUGGUGUGGCGGGGAAUCAGGACUGUUACUUUGAAAAAAUUAGAGUGUUUAAAGCAGGCUCGCGCUUGAAUACAUUAGCAUGGAAUAAUGAAAUAGGACGUUUGAUCCUAUUUUGUUGGUUUCUAGGAUCGACGUAAUGAUUAAUAGGGAUAGUUGGGGGCAUUAGUAUUCAAUUGUCAGAGGUGAAAUUCUUGGAUUUAUUGAAGACUAACUACUGCGAAAGCAUUUGCCAAGGAUGUUUUCAUUAAUCAAGGACGAAAGUUAGGGGAUCGAAGACGAUCAGAUACCGUCGUAG